UACGAAGGGGGCUAGCGUUGCUCGGAAUCACUGGGCGUAAAGGGUGCGUAGGCGGGUCUUUAAGUCAGGGGGGAAAUCCUGGAGCUCAACUCCAGAACUGCCUUUGAUACUGAGGAUCUUGAGUACGGGAGAGGUGAGUGGAACUGCGAGUGUAGAGGUGAAAUUCGUAGAUAUUCGCAAGAACACCAGUGGCGAAGGCGGCUCACUGGCCCGUAACUGACGCUGAGGCACGAAAGCGUGGGGAGCAAACAGG
rnacentral:rRNA from 1 species